ACGACUGCUAAGACUGGAUAGGAGACAAGAGGGCAUCUUCUUGUUUUUAAAAGACCUAGCAAUAGGUAUGCUUAGGGAGGAGCUUGCGUCACAUUAGUUAGUUGGUGGGGUAAAGGCCUAACAAGACUAUGAUGUGUAGCCGGGCUGAGAGGUUGAACGGCCACAUUGGGACUGAGACACGGCCCAAACUCCUACGGGAGGCAGCAGUAGGGAAUUUUCGGCAAUGGAGGAAACUCUGACCGAGCAACGCCGCGUGAACGAUGAAGUAUUUCGGUACGUAAAGUUCUUUUAUUAGGGAAGAAUAAAUGAUGGAAAAAUCAUUCUGACGGUACCUAAUGAAUAAGCCCCGGCUAACUAUGUGCCAGCAGCCGCGGUAAUACAUAGGGGGCAAGCGUUAUCCGGAAUUAUUGGGCGUAAAGGGUGCGUAGGCGGUUAAAUAAGUUUAUGGUCUAAGUGCAAUGCUCAACAUUGUGAUGCUAUAAAAACUGUUUAGCUAGAGUAAGAUAGAGGCAAGUGGAAUUCCAUGUGUAGUGGUAAAAUGCGUAAAUAUAUGGAGGAACACCAGUAGCGAAGGCGGCUUGCUGGGUCUUUACUGACGCUGAGGCACGAAAGCGUGGGGAGCAAACAGGAUUAGAUACCCUGGUAGUCCACGCCGUAAACGAUGAGUACUAAACGUUGGGUAAAACCAGUGUUGAAGUUAACACAUUAAGUACUCCGCCUGAGUAGUACGUACGCAAGUAUGAAACUUAAAGGAAUUGACGGGACUCCGCACAAGCGGUGGAUCAUGUUGUUUAAUUCGAAGGUACCCGAAAAACCUCACCAGGUCUUGACAUGCUUCUGCAAAGCUGUAGAAACACAGUGGAGGUUAUCAGUUGCACAGGUGGUGCAUGGUUGUCGUCAGCUCGUGUCGUGAGAUGUUGGGUUAAGUCCCGCAACGAGCGCAACCCUUAUUGUUAGUUACCAGCACGUAAUGGUGGGGACUUUAGCAAGACUGCCAGUGAUAAAUUGGAGGAAGGUGGGGACGACGUCAAAUCAUCAUGCCCCUUAUGACCUGGGCUACAAACGUGAUACAAUGGCUGUUACAAAGGGUAGCUGAAGCGCAAGUUUUUGGCGAAUCUCAAAAAAACAGUCUCAGUUCGGAUUGAAGUCUGCAACUCGACUUCAUGAAGUUGGAAUCGCUAGUAAUCGCGAAUCAGCAUGUCGCGGUGAAUACGUUCACGGGGUUUGUACACACCGCCCGUCA
rnacentral:rRNA from 1 species